UAUAUCGGAACGUACCCAGAAGUGGGGAGUAACGUAGCGAAAGUAACGCUAAUACCGCAUACGAUCUACGGAUGAAAGUAGGGGGACCGUUCGGGCCGUCAUGCUUUUGGUAGCGGCCGAUAUCUGAUUAGCUAGUUGGUAGGGUAAAGGCCUACCAAGGCGACGAUCAGUAGCUGGUCUGAGAGGACGACCAGCCACACUGGAACUGAGACACGGUCCAGACUCCUACGGGAGGCAGCAGUGGGGAAUUUUGGACAAUGGGCGCAAGCCUGAUCCAGCAAUGCCGCGUGAGUGAAGAAG
rnacentral:rRNA from 1 species